AGUGAACGCUGGCGGUAGGCCUAACACAUGCAAGUCGAACGGCAGCACAGUAAGAGCUUGCUCUUACGGGUGGCGAGUGGCGGACGGGUGAGGAAUACAUCGGAAUCUACUUUUUCGUGGGGGAUAACGUAGGGAAACUUACGCUAAUACCGCAUACGACCUACGGGUGAAAGCAGGGGAUCUUCGGACCUUGCGCGAUUGAAUGAGACGAUGUCGGAUUAGCUAGUUGGCGGGGUAAAGGCCCACCAAGGCGGCGAACCGUAGCUGGUCUGAGAGGAUGAUCAGCCACACUGGAACUGAGACACGGUCCAGACUCCUACGGGAGGCAGCAGUGGGGAAUAUUGGACAAUGGGCGCAAGCCUGAUCCAGCCAUACCGCGUGGGUGAAGAAGGCCUUCGGGUUGUAAAGCCCUUUUGUUGGGAAAGAAAAGCAGCAGGUUAAUACCCCGCUGUUCUGACGGUACCCAAAGAAUAAGCACCGGCUAACUUCGUG
rnacentral:rRNA from 1 species